UACGUAGGGUGCAAGCGUUGUCCGGAAUUAUUGGGCGUAAAGAGCUCGUAGGCGGUCUGUCGCGUCGGCUGUGGAAAUCCCGAGGCUCAACCUCGGGUCUGCAGUCGAUACGGGCAAACUAGAGUAUUGCAGGGGAGACUGGAAUUCCUGGUGUAGCGGUGAAAUGCGCAGAUAUCAGGAGGAACACCGGUGGCGAAGGCGGGUCUCUGGGCAAUAACUGACGCUGAGGAGCGAAAGCGUGGGGAGCGAACAGG
rnacentral:rRNA from 1 species